UGCCGGCUGCACGAGAAAUAUUCGGUAAUACUUUUUAUAGGUGAACUUAUAUAUGUAUAUAUAAAAAAAGAAGAAGCACGGGGCGUCGAUUAGGCGUUGCGAUUGAUAGCAGCGCCAGCGCUUUCGGACGCGAGCGUUUCAAAUGACCGCGCUCAGCCCAGAUGGCAACAACAGUUGACUUGCUAUAGCUAUAGCAGAGACGAACGUUAGAGGGCGAUGGUGACGGGGUUACGCCUAAGUAACGCCAACCUUAUGCUGUCCUCGACAGAAAGAAGUUACGUCAAACCAUUUAGGGCUGGUUAACGGUCGCGCUGCAUCGGAUGCGUAGACGAUAACGGAAAGGCGGACAUAUUAUGACACAGCGUCAACGGCACUAGCAACAAAGAUCCUUCGCUACUGUUGUGAGGGCUGCCGUCGGCGUUCACGUUAUUGGUUGCCACAGUUAACUGUGUGCACGAGUUGCUCUUUCUUCCUUUGUGGAUAACUCCGACCAGACGCUAAAAAAGACGUGAGAUAGAUACAUAGACGUGUAGCUCUACGCAGUUAUAUUGCAUAAGGCUAAAAUGAAAAACAGCAUAUACUGUUAUUGCCACUAUUUUCGAUGGGAUUGCCGUUGCUUGCUGUGACUGUUGUUGUUACGGAGAGUUUGGGAAAAUGAAGAAAAGUCAUCGUACCACUUUGCGCUAUGGUGUAGGGAGUCACCGAUUCACAGAACCAUGAAGUGCCCUAGCAAAAGAAGUCGACGCAUCAACUUAUGCUUAAUUCAUUAAACUCUUUAUGUAAACGCUCUAUAUUCCGGCCGGGACAAGGGUAGAUGAGUAUAACUGGACAAUAAGGUGCACGAAUUGGGCUGCUGUUUUGUCGCUUGACUGAAGUUUUGCCCUGCGAAGAAGCUGUGCGGAGGCGAGCCCGAUUGGGUUGACCGGUUGAAGGCUACAGGUCGUGUCAAGGAUGCGUUGAGGACAAUACGUGCUGGAUUCUUUACUCCCUACACGACCACUCGUAACAUCGAUCCUUGCAGACACGGUAGCGGUCUUGUCUUAGCGCAGUAGCGGUAGCGGCCAACACCCGCACAACGUUAAUUGAUAGACUGCAAAGGGGCUACGUGCGUCAAAAGCACCGAGAGGAAAUCCUACGUCGACGCAACGGGCGAAAAGCGGUCACGGAAGCGAUCAGCAACCUAACCAACAGCAUCAGUAUUGCGGCUUAUUUAUCACUUAGUCAGCUAGUUUCCACCAGAGCAACGCUACAUUGGCUGACCAUUGAGUGUCGGGGAGGUGAAAGGAUGGUAUCACUUUAAAGGUUAAAAAUUGACACUCAGUUCCAGUAUUUUGAGAUUGGGUGGUCAGGGCUAGGUAGAUCUAUGUUGACACGUGCAAGCUUUUUUUUUUUUAACAAAAACGGAUGUAAUUUACGAAUGAAUGUUAUUAUAAAUAAG